rnacentral:tRNA from 3 species
UUUUUGGGGAUAGAGGGACUUGAACCCUCACGAUUUUGAAAGUCGACGGA